UUCCCUGUAGCGCAAUGGAUAGCCCGUUGAACUACUAAUCCAAAGAUCGUGGACUAGAAUCACACUUGGGAUG